AUUCCAGCUCCAAUAGCGUAUAUUUAAGUUGUUGCAGUUAAAAAGCUCGUAGUUGGAUUUCGGGCGGGGCCUGCCGGUCCGCCGUUUCGGUGUGCACUGGCGGGCUGCGUCUUCCUGUCGAGGACGCGCUCCGGUUUAAUCGCUGGACGCGGAGUCGGCGUGGUUACUUUGAAAAAAUUAGAGUGUUCAAAGCGGGCUUACGCUUGAAUAUAUUAGCAUGGAAUAACACUAUAGGACUCCUGUCCUAUUUCGUUGGUCUCGGGACGGGAGUAAUGAUUAAGAGGAACAGUUGGGGGCAUUCGUAUUUCAUUGUCAGAGGUGAAAUUCUUGGAUUUAUGAAAGACGAACUUCUGCGAAAGCAUUUGCCAAGGAUGUUUUCAUUG
rnacentral:rRNA from 1 species